GGGCUGAACAACACUCUUUAUAAAGAGGGAUACAGGCCUGAAGCGAGACAAGGCACCGGACACCUGAAGUAGAGAGCCUUUCCAAGGGGUGACCAACAACAGAUUUCAGGAUGGGGGGGCACAUUGAGUUUGGGGCGGCAGCUUCCUUUCUGCGUAAAUCAGACAAGGAGCGUAUGGAAGCCCAGACUCGAGCCUUUGACAUAAAGAAGGAGUGCUAUGUGCUAUGCUGUUACGGUGAAGGAGAUUGACUGCCACCCCCAGAAUCUGCCACAGUUUUAUAAAAUUGAGGACAUGGAGGAACAAGCCAAUUCCAAUUUGGGCAAGAUUCAGCAUUUUACAUUUUUAGUCAUUUAGCAGACACUCUUAUCCAGAGCGACUUACAGUUAGUGAGUGCAUACA